UCUCCGCUGGUAUAUCGGUUAGUACACGCGCCUGUCAUAGGCCCGAAUCUAUCUAACCUCGCGUGAAAGCUGGGUUCGACUCUCAGCCAAAGAG
rnacentral:tRNA from 1 species